UGUCUCAGAAAACAAAAACAAAAGCAAAAAACCCCAAAAUGUAACUGGGUUCCUGUUACUUACUUUUUAAAAGCCCUUCAAUAGUUUCUUUCCUGCCUCACUUAAAAUAAAAUCCGAACUCCUUGCCAUGGCCUUCAUCAUUGCCGUUCAGAGUGAAUGUGAUUGGAGGAUGGAGAGCCUUGGUACCUGCUGGGAGCUUGUCAGAAAUGAGACUCCACGUCUGCUGCAGCAGGAUCUGCAUUUGCCACAAUACCCAGGUGAUUUGUGUGCUCCUUAAAGUUUGAGAAGAUGUCCUAAACAGUCUUUGUGAUCAUCCCAGAACUCCUCACCCACCCACCUAAACCUUACCCCACUUUUAUCAUUUAUCCUGUAUUCUACUCAUCACAAUUUACACUUACUCUACUUGCUUAUUGUCAGUCUGGAGGGCUAGAAUAUAAGCACAUAGAGGACAGGGACCAUAAGUAGUUUUGUUCAUUAUUUUAUCUUUGGCAUCUAGCUUAGUGCCUGGCACAUAACAGAUGCUUAAGGAAUAUUUAUUGAAUAAAUGAUGAGUUUUCUGCCUUUAUCUUUCUGACCUAGUGUUUCUCAACACAGGAGCUGUUGGUGUGACAGUUCUUGUACAGAUUCGUCUGGAAUAUGGCAGGAUUUAACAUCCUUGGUUCCCACCCACUAAAUGCCACUGGAAACUCCCUAGUCGUUGUGACAAUAAAAAAGACAUUCCUACAAUGUUUCUAACACCUCUUAGUGUGAUGGGAUUGCCCUUGGUUGAGACCAUUGCUUUAACCAAUUUCGUCUGACCUUAUGCGAUUGAACAUAACAUGAUGUGUGCUGUAGGGUCCAAGAGUCAGAAAAUUCAGGUUCAAAUCUUUUCAUAGCCUUUGUGACCUUGGGCAAAUCACCUAACCUUUCUGGGUCUUAUUUGUAAAACAGGAAUCUCAGAGUUGUGCUGAGGAUUAAAUGAACUGACUAGAGGAGCAGCAACGUGCAUGGCAGCCCUAGUUACGUGGCAGCUAGUAGGCAAAUGGAUGCGUGUUGUUCUAGGAUCUAGGGACAAUCCCAGCUUCCUCAAAUCAAACCACUGUUGCUGGAAGAGCUGGUGAGAUCAGCUACACCUUGGACAGAUGCAGAAAUCCUAAACAAAAAUAUCAACUCUUGGAACUGAACAGUGCUUCAAAAGAAUCACACACCAUGGCCGACCAGGUUAUUUGCCAGAUAUUGCUGAAAGUCACAAAAUCUACCAGCAUAAAUGAUUACAGGCACAAAUUAAAGAAUAAAUGUGAUUACACUAAUAAAUGUUGAAAAGUAUUUGGGAGGCAUUUCUAAUGAAGAAAACUACUUUGACACAGCAAAGAUUGUUUCCUGUGGUGGUCUUUUAAUUAUAGUGGAAGGGUGAGGUUGGGCCCAAGGCUUGCGGUCAUCACCAGGAGUGAAGGAGUUCACUCUGAUGGCAACAUUUCCUUGGGGAAGAAUGAACCACGAACAGAAAAAAACAGCACUCGGAUCCUUUGGGAAUGUAACUUGAUCUUGAUAUUUAAAGGAUUGGGCCCCACAGGUUUAAAAAGCUUGAGUUCGAACCCUUAUUCCAUCAGUUUGAUAGACAGCUGUUGGCCUUCUGCCAGUUACCAUACCUCUCUGAGCCUGAACUUUCUCAACUGAAAAAUGGGGACUGUAUUGAGAAACAAACUUAAUAACACAAACUUCUAUGACAUAAACCUUGAAAUGUUAUUUGGGGAAAUAUUCACUUGGCAUGGCCCUAGCAAACUCCUCCCAAAUACCUUAUCAGUAGCACCCUGGUGUCACCCCAAGUGGGGUGCUCCAGAGUAAGCAAGCCACUUAGAUGUGCAUGUUAAUUGAGUCCUGCAAUGCAGACGUCUUCUUGGAUCCAAGUUCAUGCAAAAAAGAAGGAAAAGGACAUUUGAGAGAUUAACACAUCCAUUAUAAUCACUGAAAUAGGCUGCUGUAAUAAGGGCCAUUUAAUAAAAUGUAAGAAGCCCUUUUCUAAGAGGGAAGAGAUGGGUCAGGAUGGAAGUCAAGUGCAGCUGUUUGAGCCUUUGCCAGUGGUCUGAUCUCACCAGUAAAACUGGAGUUAAAAAACAACAAACUUCCAGAUUCAGCCGUCUCAGAUAAACACUGCCUCCCCCUGGCGUUCCACCCACCCCAAGUCCUUUCCCUUUCUCCCCAGCUCGGGCAGCACCUGAGUCGCUUGGUGCGUUUCCGUGUGGUUGGGAUGUCAGCCGGCAGCCCUGGCGAUCGGAGCCCUGGGAGGCGGCAGCUACCUCUCGGGUUUAGCAUUACGUCAUCCCUUCUAGGCCCAAAUUUAUCUCGGCUGCACAGAGACCCGCAGCUCUGAGCUGCCGCUGACUUGAGGAGAGCUUACGCAUGAACUUAGGUGGCCUUUUGGUGAGUCUCGCUCCACUUUCCAUGUCCUCAUCUCCCUCUUGGCCAUGGCUCUAGAAGAAGGGCUCUAGGUUAGUUCACCUGGACCAGGUCAACUGUGGAAGGCCAUGCAUAGGCCCCAGGCCUCUUGCAUCUAGCCAUCUCUUCCUAACCAGCUAUGGCUCUGUGACCUCUGGAAUUAAAGCCAUCUUGAAUUCAUGUAUAUUUUCAGUUUGUACUACUUUUCUUGAUUGCUUGUCACACAAGUUUACCUCCUAUUAGGAAAAGUAGAGUUGUAUUUGUCCUGACCAGGCGCAGUGACUCACGUCUGUAAUCCCAGCACUUUGGGAGGCUGAGGC